GAUGAACGCUAGCGGUAGGCUUAACACAUGCAAGUCGAGGGGCAGCACAGGUAGCAAUACUAGGUGGCGACCGGCGCACGGGUGAGUAACGCGUAUGCAACCUACCUAUAACUGGAGAAUAGCCCCCGGAAACGGGGAUUAAUGUUCCAUAAUGUUCAGAGACUGCAUAGUUUUUGGACUAAAGCUCCGGCGGUUAUAGAUGGGCAUGCGUGCCAUUAGCUUGUUGGUGAGGUAACGGCUCACCAAGGCUACGAUGGCUAGGGGGUCUUAAACGAGGAUCCCCCACACUGGUACUGAGACACGGACCAGACUCGUACGGGAGGCAGCAGUGAGGAAUAUUGGUCAAUGGGCGCAAGCCUGAACCAGCCAAGCCGCGUGAAGGAUGACGGCCCUAUGGGUUGUAAACUUCUUUUGUAUGGGAAGAACCCCCCGACGUGUCGGGGUUUGACUGUACUGUACGAAUAAGCAUCGGCUAACUCCGUGCCAGCAGCCGCCGUAAUAC
rnacentral:rRNA from 1 species